UUUCGGCGCUAUGUUUGUUUCUCAUCGGUUCGGUUCGGUCGACAGGUGCUUGCGUGCGCGGCGAGUGAAAUCCAGGCAAGGAAGUUAUCAUCGAGCUGCUGCAGGAGUGUUUGCCGCAGCAAAGCACCCCCAAUCCGGAACAUUAUCUGCUUGGGUUUGAAAUUAGCAAAGAACUGCGACUCAUCAAUUUGCAGCAAAAGGGGGGUGUUCAAUUUCCCGACCAGCUGCGCCUUAUUUUGCCGUUGGAUCAAGACUUGGAGGCCAACCCAAUUCCUCAGCCCAAGAGCGACUGAUCGUGCAUGGCUAUUCUCGUUGAAAUAUGGUCUGCUACAAUUCUCGCUUCCGGAGGUGAGCUGCGUUUCUUUCGGUCCUGUAACGAUUUCCUGUGUCGGCACGUUAAUGAGCCUUCGUUUGCGAUCAAUGCGCGGACCAUCAACAGUCUCCAUGUACCGAAUAAGAUGACUGGUCUGUUGAUGAUGAUAUGUGGACUCCUUUCAAGCAUCUGUACAACAGCAUCGAUUUCUUGGUCCGGCCUUAAGUUCGGGAACGGAAAAGAGUUGUGCCAAUCUGGAUGCGUUGCUGCGGAAGCAGAAUUUUACGACCAUGUUGAAGAACCCUCCAAAGAAUGGGCCUCAUUUUGCCUUUGGAUCAAGACUUGGAGGCCAACCCAAUUUCUCAGCCCAAGAGCGACUGAUCGUGCACGGCUAUUCUCGUUGAAAUAUGGUCUGCUACAAUUCUCGCUUCCGGAGGUGAUUCUACGUUUCCUUCGGUCCUGUAACGAUUUCCUGCGUCGGCACGUUAAUGAGCCUUCGUUUGCGAUCAAUGCGCGGACCAUCAACAGUCUCCAUGUACCGAAUAAGAUGACCGGUCUGUUGCGCUGUGUUGAUGAUGAUAUGUGGACUCCUUUCAAGCAUCUGUUCAACAGCAUCGAUUUCUUGGUCCGGCCAUCAAGUUCGGGAACGGAACAGAGUGGUGCCAAUCUGGAUGCGUUGCUGCGGAAGUAGAAUUUUACGACCAUGUUGAAGAACCCUCCAAAGAAUGGGCCUUAUUUUGCCUUUGGAUCAAGACUUGGAGGCCAACCCAAUUUCUCAGCCCAAGAGCGACUGAUCGUGCACGGCUAUUCUCGUUGAAAUAUGGUCUGCUACAAUUCUCGCUUACGGAGGUGAUUCUACGUUUCCUUCGGUCCUGUAACGAUUACCUGUGUCGGCACGUUAAUGAGCCUUCGUUUGCGAUCAAUGCGCUGACCAUCAACAGUCUCCAUGUACUGAAUAAAAUGAGCGGUCUGUUGCGGUGUGUUGAGGAUGAUAUUGCCUUCUUACAGAUUCAGCUAUCGGUUAAUUGACCCCAUUUCAACUGGUACUUAUCAAGUCAGCCUAACAAGCUACGACAAUGACUGUAUUGAUGUGUGUAGGUUUUUUGUAUCUAUUCUCAAUGUUUAGCGAAACUGGCCAGCACAAUUUAAAUAGUUUUAGUCUGUAAAGCAUAGCUUUUCUUCCUUCCCAAACUAUAAAAGAACGGAAAAAGUAUUUGAAAUAAGUUUUAAAUUUUUCAAUUUGAUUAAGAUAUUAUA